AGUGAACGCUGGCGGUAGGCCUAACACAUGCAAGUCGGACGGCAGCACAGUAAGAGCUUGCUCUUACGGGUGGCGAGUGGCGGACGGGUGAGGAAUACAUCGGAAUCUACUUUUUCGUGGGGGAUAACGUAGGGAAACUUACGCUAAUACCGCAUACGACCUACGGGUGAAAGCAGGGGAUCUUCGGACCUUGCGCGAUUGAAUGAGCCGAUGUCGGAUUAGCUAGUUGGCGGGGUAAAGGCCCACCAAGGCGACGAUCCGUAGCUGGUCUGAGAGGAUGAUCAGCCACACUGGAACUGAGACACGGUCCAGACUCCUACGGGAGGCAGCAGUGGGGAAUAUUGGACAAUGGGCGCAAGCCUGAUCCAGCCAUACCGCGUGGGUGAAGAAGGCCUUCGGGUUGUAAAGCCCUUUUGUUGGGAAAGAAAAGCAGCGGGUUAAUACCCCGCUGUUCUGACGGUACCCAAAGAAUAAGCACCGGCUAACUUCGUG
rnacentral:rRNA from 1 species